rnacentral:lncRNA from 1 species
AUUGGCCAAGAUUAUAAGCUUAAGGACUAAAACAUUAGAUUACGGUCUUAAAGCGUCUCCCCCCAAAAAAAAUCAGCCCAUGAAACUUUAGAAUACUAAGACCUAGAAACCCUUGAACCAAAACCUGUCCUGGAAGCAAAAAUUAUCUGAACGUUGGACUCCUUCCUUGAAGAACCGAUGCUAUAUCCGACGGAAGAAAAACAGAGUCUCACAACAGUAGCUUAGGUCAUACAUCACCGAUUAAAGACGCAAAGGAGAGGAAAACUUUAGUCCGUAACCAAUAACAAAAAAUGAAGUGCAAGAGAAUGACACUAACUACAGUAAACACAUGUAAUGGCAUGAUGGAGUUGAACGGAGCAGAUCAAAUACCAUCGAAAAGAGAAGAAAAAACUUUUGCAAUCAAGUCGAUCUCCAGUAUGGCUCUAGCCAAAACUAAGAGAACCCUAGACAAAAAAUCCAUUGAGAGAGGUGGGAGCACCACAACUUCUCGUUGACAAAGAAAACCUUCAAAUAUGUCUCAACCUCACAUGCAUCAACAGAUCUGGAAGAGAUAAUGGAAGGUGGUUACAAAGAGAGAGGGAGAAUGUAUCAAUCAAAUCACCUGACCAUCGUCACCGGCACAUAAAAGAAAAGAAAAAAACUCCUAAAAGCGCCCGCUGCCAUCACAAAAGUAAAACAAUAUACCGUUUACAUCUCCUUCCGGUGAGGAAAAGGCAAAAGAAAACUCUCAUUGCAGAGAGAGAAACUCAAAAGAGUAAAGUGCAAACUCUCUUGCUUCUUUACAUCCAUUCGCACAAGGUAAAAUGCAAGAAUACAUAGAACUUUUAAAUAAAAUGCGUUUAAGUUGGAGUAGGGUAACGAUAAAUGAAUUACAGAGAACCUAUAAAAUCUCAUAAUAUGGUUUCCCAUUUGCAAUUUUCGGAUUGAAGUAACUUAUGCAUAGUGAACCUUUACGCAUUCAAAAAAUUUCCCAAUGUGGGAAUCCACUAAAAGUUCUUGGCAAUUAAAGCGCUC